GACGAACGCUGGCGGCGUGCUUAACACAUGCAAGUCGAACGGAAAGGCCCUGCUUUUGUGGGGUGCUCGAGUGGCGAACGGGUGAGUAACACGUGAGUAACCUGCCCUUGACUUUGGGAUAACUUCAGGAAACUGGGGCUAAUACCGGAUAGGAGCUCCUGCUGCAUGGUGGGGGUGGGAUAGUUUCGGCGGUUGGGGAUGGACUCGCGGCUUAUCAGCUUGUUGGUGGGGUAGUGGCUUACCAAGGCUUGGACGGGUAGCCGGCCUGAGAGGGUGACCGGCGACACUAGGACUGAGAUACGGCCCAGACUCCUACGGGAGGCAGCGGAGGGGAAUAGUGUACAAUGGGCGGAAGCCUGAUGCAGCAACGCAGCGUGCGGGAUGACGGCCUGCGGGUUGUAAACCGCAGUCGCCUGUGACGAAGCGAGAGUGACGGUAAUGGGAAAAGAAGCACCGGCUAACUACGUG
rnacentral:rRNA from 1 species